GGUUGUAUGGUGUAAUGGUUAGCACGUAGGAUUUGAUUUCCUGAGACCUGGGUUCAUUCCCAGUACGACCU
rnacentral:tRNA from 1 species